rnacentral:rRNA from 1 species
AGAGUUUGAUCCUGGCUCAGAUUGAACGCUGGCGGCAUGCCUAACACAUGCAAGUCGAACGGAAACGAUGGGAGCUUGCUCCCAGGCGUCGAGUGGCGGACGGGUGAGUAAUAUUUAGGAAUCUACCCAGUAGCGGGGGACAACUCGAGGAAACUCGAGCUAAUACCGCAUACGCCCUACGGGGGAAAGCAGGGGAUCUUCGGACCUUGCACUAUUGGAUGAGCCUAAGUCGGAUUAGCUUGUUGGUGAGGUAAAGGCUCACCAAGGCGACGAUCCGUAGCUGGUCUGAGAGGACGAUCAGCCACACUGGGACUGAGACACGGCCCAGACUCCUACGGGAGGCAGCAGUGGGGAAUAUUGGACAAUGGGGGCAACCCUGAUCCAGCAAUGCCGCGUGUGUGAAGAAGGCCUGCGGGUUGUAAAGCACUUUCAGUAGAGAAGAAAAGCCCACGGCUAAUACCCGUGAGUCUUGACGUUACCUACAGAAGAAGCUCCGGCUAACUCCGUGCCAGCAGCCGCGGUAAUACGGAGGGAGCGAGCGUUAAUCGGAAUUACUGGGCGUAAAGCGCGCGUAGGCGGCUUUGUAAGUCGGAUGUGAAAGCCCUGGGCUCAACCUGGGAAUGGCAUUCGAUACUGCAGAGCUAGAGUAUGGUAGAGGGAAGUGGAAUUUCCGGUGUAGCGGUGAAAUGCGUAGAUAUC